UACUUGUACUGUGUUGGUUCUUUGACAUCUCUGACAAUAUAUUAAGUGAAUUUACAGCAGUUCUUAUAUUUGCUUAUUUUCUAAUUUCAACACCAGGAAAACCACAAAAUACAUAUAAAAAAGAACAAUCCGGGAGGGCAGCUGCAAUCAAAUGAAAGCUAUAAAAUUUUUUAUAGUUUCUAUACGGAACUUGAUUUGGGGCUUUGGGAUGAAACAGAAUAUGGCAACCAUCAAGAGCAGAUAGCACCCCUGGAAAAUUGACCUACAUCUGAAACUUGAUUGCAACUGAACGUAGUUUUUCCCUGGUUGGAAAUUUGAUGAAAUCAGAUUGUUUCAAAAACAUAAAUUUACAAAAUUAACCUGUAAUAUUACAUAUGGUUAACUCUGUUCUAUUAAAUUUGUCACCGAGUAACCUCAUUGAGCCCUGGUUACCCAAAUACUGAAGAUUGAUGUAAAGAAUCUCGUAGAGAGUCAUGGGUUCACAUCCACCAUGGAAAGUUACUUGUGAUCGGAAGUUGUUGUUCUGUAGAUAGUGCAAUAUGUACUGAAAAGUUUACCGUGUUACUCUGAAGUGACGAAAAAAGUCUGCAUCGGAAUAAAGGGUGAUGAUGUUGAGGUACCCUACUUGUCUAGGAUGUCCAAAUCCUGAGCCUAUCUAUCUUUGGGAAUGGAGGUUAAGUCUACUCGCUGUCUUUUCCAAUUGGUACUCUCUUUGAGCAGACUGGACUUUCACUGUGAAUAUCUAUCAGUGUCAAUAGAAGCAUUUCUCGCUCAUCAUUUCUCAUCAUUUCUUGCUUAUAAUUUCAAUUCUGAGCCUAUCUAGCGGUCUGAACUUUCGUCGUGUCACGAGCGUCAAAGUUAAAUUUUAUCAGUGGAUAAUUUGUUGAAUAAUCAGUUUUUAAAUUUAAAAUUUUUUGAUUUACAUGUAUACGCUCGAAGCUGCUUUAUCCAACAUGAAACUUCAGAAAUAGACAACAAUUGAAAUU